AUAGUACUCCAUAGAUUAGAGACACUGGAAUGUUCUUUAGUCGAAAGUUCUGGCGCCUUAGGAUGGAUCAUGCGGUCGAUUAGGUUGUUGUUGGGGUAACGGCCCAACAAGCCUGUAAUCGAUACGGGUUGUGGGAGCAAGAGCCCGGAGAUGGAAUCUGAGACACGAUUCCAGGCCCUACGGGGCGCAGCAGGCGCGAAAACUUUACAAUGCAGGAAACUGUGAUAAGGGAACUCCGAGUGCCCGUAUACGCGGGCUGUCCAGGUGUUUAAAAAUCAUCUGAAGAAAGGGCCGGGCAAGACCGGUGCCAGCCGCCGCGGUAAUACCGGCGGCUCGAGUGGUGGCCACUAUUAUUGGGCUUAAAGCGUCCGUAGCUGGACCGAUAAGUCUCUUGGGAAAUCCGCCGGCUCAACCGGCGGGCGUCUAAGGGAUACUGUUAGUCUAGGGACCGGGAGAGGUGAGAGGUACUCCGGGGGUAGGAGUGAAAUCCUGUAAUCCCCGGGGGACCACCGAUGGCGAAGGCAUCUCACCAGAACGGCUCCGACAGUGAGGGACGAAAGCUGGGGGAGCGAACCGGAUUAAAUACCCGGGUAGUCCCAGCCGUAAACUAUGCGCGUUAGGUGU
rnacentral:rRNA from 1 species